UAUGUAUGUUCAUUCUGCAAAUACUGGAAAUUUUCAGUGUAAAAUGUGUUUAUUCCCACUUGUCAAGUUAAAUAACCGAGCAGCUAUUUUAACCACAACCACCCCAACCCCCGAUUAUUUUGCAAUACAUUCAAAACAUUAUUGUAACUCAAUUUUUGAAUAAAACACAUAUAUAUCUUGACAAUUUUUCCAAGAGUGUGUGUGUGUGUUUGAGUGUGUGUAUGUGUAUGAGUGUUU